AUGAAUUUCAAGGGAUGCAAGGACGUAGGAGGAAGAAGAAACACAGGAGACCUCAUGAAAGUCACAACAACAAAGAUCCACAGUCUGUUAUUGGUAUCUUUUCGGGAGUACUUAAGAAGGCGUGGCGGGGAAGGUGGGGACACGCCAUGGCAGAGGCCAGUGGCAAACCUACGUGUAAGCCGUGAGGGUAUUCUUGUCGGCGCCGUCGCUCGCAGAGGCGCAUGGUCGACAGGAAGAGUCGCGGCAUUGACACUUUUCGCGCUACCAACACUGCAUACCAACUCCAGAGGAGGCCAACAGUGCCGACGACGGCUCUGCGAUGGGGAAAGGUCGCUCAUCGUCGCGACACUAGCAGUGUCACGAUCACAUUAUACCCGCGUGUUGAUGAGAAACUGGACUCUCCGGCCUCUUCCCUCCAGUAAGAGACAUGAUGCUAUCGAUCACCAGUGA
rnacentral:rRNA from 1 species